UGCUAAAGCGGCACCUGAUGGUGAUGUGAACACAAACCAAUACCGUCUAGGAGGACGUGGUAGGGCUUGCCUGUUGAGCCCAGCUUCCUGAAGCCACCUGACAUGGAGCCAGACGAGAGCUAGUGCCAGCAGAAGAAAGGAGUGGCAGGAGCUGAGGAAUUGGCUGUGGUAGCAGAAAGAGCAUCCAAGGCUGAGGGAAAGGCAUCGUACAUGCUGCUGAGAUCAAAUCCCAUUGUGAGCUUCAUACUUCCUCUGUGAACUGUCUGGAGAACCAAGAAAGAGAUGGAAACAGGGCAGAAGUGGAUACAUGGGGCAUGUACUGAAUUAGCCCAUCCUGGUCUGGUUUCAUCCAUGGCUUCGAAAGAGCCUCUACUGGAUUAUGACAUGCAAGACUGGAUAAAGAAAUCAGCGAGCGGACAAUUCCAAACUCCCUCCAGCAUAAAACUAGAAGCUCUAAUUGUGUUUUCCUUCCAUUUCUGAUUCUUCCAGAAUUGGAAGAUUGAAUAGAAUAUCUCUAUUGGACAUAUCUAGAUUGAUGAACUGACAGCACUGGAAACUUCAUUAUCAAUUUAGAGAGUGAAUACUAGGGACUGAAAGGAUUCAUUUUUCACUCACUUUGCCCUUCUAAUAUCAAUUGUCCCCUUCAGCUUUUCCUCACUAUCAUUCUCAAAGUACAUCAGCUUGGAUUCUCGAAGCACAAACCAGCGGCGUUUCCAGUUACGGCGUGAAAGCGUUGACAUGCCUCCUCCUUUUUUGUAGAGCCAGCCUGACUUCAGUGCUUCUUGCUUGGUUCUGAACCACAUGAAUGCUUCGUUCUUCAGAACACACCAGCGCCUCCUCCAUGGGUUCAUCAGACCUCCUGCAAAGAGAGAGGCAAGACUUCACCAGACAAACAACAAGGAAAAAUUCUCCAUUAUGAUCCUGCUUCUCGGACACUUAGUUGCCAGUUCAGUUUCGACAUGCAAAAAAGGAGCUGAGAGAGAUAAACAAGACUAAGUUUGGACAGAGAAAAAGCAGAAAUAACUAGUGAAAUAAGCAUAAAAUAUAAAGAAGUCACUGUUCCUUAUGCCCUCCUUUUUACACAGUCAUAUAGUUGAGGGUUGUUGUACGAAGAGGCAGAUAAAACUGACUUCCGGUCAUGGCUUUUACUCUUUCUCUGCUAGAUUAUUCCAGCAUCAAACUUACAAACACUAUAUACAGGCACUAAAUAUAAGUACAUACUAGACAAAUUUAUAAGCAUGUAAGUUUAUAUACUAUAUAUACAUACUACAUAUAUAAAAGAAAAUAUAUAUAUGUUUGUAUAUGUAACAUUGUAAGACAUUGUAGAAGCCACUGCUUUGCUAACGGC